rnacentral:rRNA from 1 species
ACCCGUCUUGAAACACGGACCAAGGAGUCUAACAUGUGCGCGAGUCAUUGGGCUCGUACUAAACCCAAAGGCGAAGUGAAAUCAAAGGCGGGCCCGCGAGGGCCCGCCCCAGACUAAGAGGGAGGAUGGGCGUACCGUCCACGCGGCGGCGCCCCGCACUCCCGGGGCGUCCCGUUCUCCUAAGCCGAGGCGGGGCGCACCAAGAGCGUACACGUUGGGACCCGAAAGAUGGUGAACUAUGCCCGGCCAGGACGAAGCCAGGGGAAACCCUGGUGGAGGUCCGUAGCGAUUCUGACGUGCAAAUCGAUCGUCAAAGCUGGGUAUAGGGGCGAAAGACUAAUCGAACCAUCUAGUAGCUGGUUCCUUCCGAAGUUUCCCUCAGGAUAGCUGGCGUUCGGAGGGAGUCUCAUGCGGUAAAGCGAAUGAUUAGAGGCAUUGGGGCCGAAACGGCCUCAACCUAUUCUCAAACUUUAAAUGGGUGAGAACUCCGGCAUGCUUGGACCUGCCUCCAUGAAGCCGGAGCUUCGGAUCCUUGAACGCCAAGUGGGCCAAUUUUGGUAAGCAGAACUGGCGCUGUGGGAUGAACCAAACGCCGAGUUAAGGCGCCUAAACGACGCUCAUGGGAAACCAUGAAAGGCGUUGGUUGCUUAAGACAGCAGGACGGUGGCCAUGGAAGUCGGAAUCCGCUAAGGAGUGUGUAACAACUCACCUGCCGAAGCAACUAGCCCUGAAAAUGGAUGGCGCUGUAGCGUCGUGCCUAUACUCGGCCGUCGGCGGCACAGAGGCCGGGCCCCUCGCGGGGUCCGGGCCCUUAGGCCCCGACGAGUAGGAAGGCGCGGCGGUGUGCGCAGAAGGGUCCGGGCGUGAGCCCGCCUGGAGCCGCCGCCGGCGCAGAUCUUGGUGGUAGUAGCAAUUACUCCAGCGAGGCCCUGGAGGACUGACGUGGAGAAGGGUUUCUUGUGAACAGCUGUUGCACAAGAGUCAGUCGAUCCUAAGCCCUAGGAGACAUCCGAUGUCGAUGGGCGCCGUAAGGCGGGCCGUAACAAGGCGAGCCGAGCCGGCGCCCCCUGGGCGAAAGGGAAUCCGGUUCCUAUUCCGGAACCCGGCAGCGGAACCGUUCCGAUGCGGGCCCUCGCACGAGAGCUCGUCGGGGUAACCCAAACGAACCCGGAGAAGCCGACGGGAGGUCCGGAGAGAGUUUUCUUUUCUCUAUAAGCGGUCGGGAACCCUGGAAUCCUCUAAGAGGGAGAUAGGGUUUGGACCGCGAAGAGCACCGCAGUUGCAGCGGUGUCCGGAUCUUCCCCUCGGACCUUGAAAAUCCGGGGGAGGGCUACGCGGACAGUCCGCGCCGGAUCGUACCCAUAUCCGCAGCAGGUCUCCAAGGUGAAGAGCCUCUAGUCGAUAGAAUAACGUAGGUAAGGGAAGUCGGCAACUCGGAUCCGUACCUUCGGAAGAAGGGUUGGCUCUGAGGACCGGGGCGUGUCGGGCUUGACGGGGAAGCGGGUCCGCGCCGGGGGUUCACGCCCCCGGCGCGCCCGCGAACCGAGCUCGGUCCCGUGCCUCGCCCCUACCGCGGAACCGCCUUGCUGCGAGGCCGCCGGCUGUCGGUCGCGGGCCGUCCGGCCGCGCC